rnacentral:rRNA from 1 species
AGAGUUUGAUCCUGGCUCAGAAUCAACGCUGGCGGCGCGCCUAACACAUGCAAGUCGAACGAGAAAGUGGAGCAAUCCAUGAGUACAGUGGCGUACGGGUGAGUAACACGUGGGUAAUCUACCUCUUUGUGUGGAAUAACUCUGGGAAACCGGAGCUAAUACCGCAUAAGCUCGAGAGAGGAAAGUCGCAAGACGCUGAGAGAGGAGCCCGCGGCCGAUUAGCUAGUUGGCAGGGUAACAGCCUACCAAGGCGAAGAUCGGUAGCCGGCCUGAGAGGGCACACGGCCACACUGGCACUGAAACACGGGCCAGACUCCUACGGGAGGCAGCAGUGGGGAAUCUUGCACAAUGGGGGAAACCCUGAUGCAGCGACGCCGCGUGAGCGAUGAAGCCCUUCGGGGUGUAAAGCUCUUUCGGCAGGGAAGAUUAUGACGGUACCUGCAGAAGCAGCUGCGGCUAACUACGUGCCAGCAGCCGCGGUAAUACGUAGGCAGCGAGCGUUGUUCGGAGUUACUGGGCGUAAAGGGUGUGUAGGCGGUUGUUUAAGUUUGGUGUGAAAUCUCCCGGCUCAACUGGGAGGGUGCGCCGAAUACUGAGCGACUAGAGUGCGGGAGAGGAAAGUGGAAUUCCUGGUGUAGCGGUGAAAUGCGUAGAUAUCAGGAGGAACACCGGUGGUGUAGACGGCUUUCUGGACCGUAACUGACGCUGAGACACGAAAGCGUGGGUAGCAAACAGGAUUAGAUACCCUGGUAGUCCACGCCCUAAACGAUGCAUAUUUGGUGUGGGCAGUUCAUUCUGUCCGUGCCGGAGCUAACGCGUUAAAUAUGCCGCCUGGGGAGUACAGUCGCAAGGCUGAAACUCAAAGGAAUUGACGGGGGCCCGCACAAGCGGUGGAGCAUGUGGUUCAUUCGACGCACGCGAGACCUUACCUGGGCUCGAACGGCUGGUCAACGGAGUGGAAACGCCUUUACCCCGCAAGGGGUCCAGUCGAGGUGCUGCAUG